rnacentral:rRNA from 1 species
UACGGGGGGGGGCAAGCGUUGUUCGGAAUUACUGGGCGUAAAGGGCUCGUAGGCGGCCAACUAAGUCAGACGUGAAAUCCCCAGGCUCAACCUGGGAACUGCGUCUGAUACUGGAUGGCUUGAAUCCGGGAGAGGGAUGCAGAAUUCCUGGUGUAGCGGUGAAAUGCGCAGAUAUCAGGAAGAACACCUAUGGCGAAGGCAGCACUCUGGGACGGUACUGACGCUGAGGCGCGAAAGCGUGGGGAGCGAACAGG